CGUAGGCAUUCAACGUGCGCUGGCAAAGGGCUGAGCGCACACAAUCUUGCUUGCCGAAACGAAUCACACCAACCAUUUCAUCUUCUUCAAAACGUUGCAGAGCGUCGCUCAGACCGGACUGAACACCCCGUGGCAAAUCACAUUGCGUGAUAUCGCCAUUGACGAUCACCGUCACGUUUUCCCCGAGGCGCGUU
rnacentral:antisense_RNA from 1 species